GGGGAUGUAGCUCAGCUGGGAGAGCACCUGCCUUGCACGCAGGGGGUCAGGAGUUCGAUCCUCCUCAUCUCCACCA
rnacentral:tRNA from 4 species